CAGCAGCCGCGGUAAUACGUAGGGUCCAAGCGUUGUCCGGAUUUAUUGGGCGUAUAGAGCUCGUAGGUGGUUCAGUAAGUCGGAUGUGAAAACUCGGGGCUCAACCCCGAGACGCCAUCCGAUACUGCUGUGACUUGAGUCUGGUAGGGGAGAUCGGAAUUCCUGGUGUAGCGGUGAAAUGCGCAGAUAUCAGGAGGAACACCGGUGGCGAAGGCGGAUCUCUGGGCCAGUACUGACACUGAGGAGCGAAAGCGUGGGUAGCAAACUGGAUUAGAUACCCUGGUAGUCCACGCCGUAAACGUUGGGAACUAGGUGUGGGGUCCUAUCGACGGAUUCCGUGCCGUAGCUAACGCAUUAAGUGCCCCGCCUGGGGAGUACGGCCGCAAGGCUAAAACUCAAAGGAAUUGAC
rnacentral:rRNA from 1 species